rnacentral:rRNA from 1 species
GUAUGGAUUAGAUAAUCGCUGAAAGCAUCUAAGUGAGAAACUAACCUCGAGAUGAGAUUUCCCAUUCGUCAGAAGUAAGACCCCUGAGAGACGAUCAGGUAGAUAGGCUAGAAGUGGAAGUGUAGUGAUGCAUGGAGCGGACUAGUACUAAUAGGUCGAGGACUUAACCAAG